rnacentral:rRNA from 1 species
GACGAACGCUGGCGGCGUGCUUAACACAUGCAAGUCGAACGGAAAGGCCCUGCUUUUGUGGGGUGCUCGAGUGGCGAACGGGUGAGUAACACGUGAGUAACCUGCCCUUGACUUUGGGAUAACUUCAGGAAACUGGGGCUAAUACCGGAUAGGAGCUCCUGCUGCAUGGUGGGGGUUGGAAAGUUUCGGCGGUUGGGGAUGGACUCGCAGCUUAUCAGCUUGUUGGUGGGGUAGUGGCUUACCAAGGCUUUGACGGGUAGCCGGCCUGAGAGGGUGACCGGCGACAAUAGGACUGAGAUACGGCCCAGACGCCUACGGGAGGCAGCAGUGGGGAAUAUUGCACAAUGGGCGGAAGCCUGAUGCAGCAACGCCGCGUGCGGGAUGACGGCCUUCGGGUGGUAAACCGCUUUCGCCUGUGACGAAGCGUGAGUGACGGUAAUGGGUAAAGAAGCACCGGCUAACUACGUG